rnacentral:lncRNA from 1 species
UUUUUUUUUUUUUUUUUUUGUGGGGGGGUUGGGGGGGAGGGGGUUGGGUACAUAUUAAAUAUUUCACAAUAAACAUGAUCCUCAGCCAAGGAAAAUCCACCAGCCAGUUCCACGUCCAUUGAAACAUCAUUCAGUCCAGUUACAUUCAGCUGUUGCCAAAAUUUUCAAGAGAUGUGCAAUGCUCAUUAUUAAACAGCCCAGAAUGGUUUCGGAGCUGCUACCACAUUUGAGCUGCUUUUCAAAG